rfam:Lysobacter dokdonensis DS-58 contig3, whole genome shotgun sequence.
CGUCCUCUGCUGUGUCGACGGCGCGCGCAAACAUUCACCUUGUCCCUUUAAGACGACACCGGGGAUGUAGCGGAGACCGGGUGUGCAAGUCCGCCACGAGCGGGAAGCCCGAUGGUCGCCAAACGUUCCCACUUGAACCUCGGGUUCAAGGUCGUUUCGCGCGCAUCUUCACGGCGGAGGAUGU